AUUGAACGCUGGCGGCAGGCCUAACACAUGCAAGUCGAACGAGUGGCGGACGGGUGAGUAAUGUCUGGGAAACUGCCCGAUGGAGGGGGAUCACUCCUGGACCCGGUAGCUAAUACCGAAUACUAUCGGAUAUGCCCAGAUGGGAAUAGCUAGUAGGUGGGGUACCGGCUCACCUAGGCGACGAUCCCUAGCUGGUCGGAGAGGAUGACCGGCCACACUGUAAGGGAGACACGGUCCAGAGUCCUACGUGAGGCAGCAGUGGGGAAUAUUGCACAAUGGGCGCAAGCCUGAUGCAGCCAUGCCGGGUGGAUGAAGAAGGCCUUGGGGUGGUAAAGUACUUUCAGCGAGGAGGCGUUACUCGCAGAAGAAGCACCGGCUAACUCCGUGCCAGCAGCCGCGGUAAUUC
rnacentral:rRNA from 1 species